AACUUGGAGAUAGCUGGUUCUCUCCGAAAUCUCUUUAGGGGGAGCCUCGGAAUCGAGAAUCUUGGAGGUAGAGCACUAUUUGGACGAGGGGCCCGUCAUGGGUUACCGACUUCAGAUAAACUCCGAAUGCCAAUGAUUUAUGUCCGGGAGUCAGACGAUGAGUGAUAAGAUCCACCGUCGAAAGGGGAACAGCCCAGAUCACCAGUUAAGGUCCCUAAAUAUAUGCUAAGUGGAAAAGGAUGUGGAGUUGCAUAGACAACUAGGAUGUUGGCUCAGAAGCAGCCAUCAUUUAAAGAGUGCGUAAUAGCUCACUAGUCGAGUGAUUCUGCGCCGAAAAUGUACCGGGGCUAAGCAUAUUACCGAAACUGUGGAUGUGUCCUUUUGGACACGUGAUAGGAGAGCGUUCUAAGGGUGACGAAGUUAGACCGUGAGGACUAGUGGAGCGCUUAGAAGUGAGAAUGCCGGUAUGAGUAGCGAAAGACAGGUGAGAAUCCUGUCCACCGAAUGACUAAGGUUUCCUGGGGAAGGCUCGUCCUCCCAGGGUAAGUCGGGACCUAAGGCGAGGCCGAGAGGCGUAGUCGAUGGAUAACAGGUUGAGAUUCCUGUACCAGUUAAAUGCGUUUGAAUGAUGGAGGGACGCAGGAGGCUAAGCAAACCAGACGAUUGGAAGUGUCUGGCCAAGCAGUAAGUCAGGUUUAGAGUUAAAUGCUUUAAGCCGGGUUGACAAGCUGUGAUGGGGAGCGAAAUUAAAGUAGCGAAGUUGCCGAUGUCACACUGCCG
rnacentral:rRNA from 1 species